AUUGAACGCUGGCGGAAUGCUUUACACAUGCAAGUCGAACGGCAGCGGGGGAGAAGCUUGCUUUUCCUGCCGGCGAGUGGCGAACGGGUGAGUAAUACAUCGGAACGUGCCCUGUAGUGGGGGAUAACUAGUCGAAAGAUUAGCUAAUACCGCAUACGACCUGAGGGUGAAAGUGGGGGACCGCAAGGCCUCAUGCUAUAGGAGCGGCCGAUGUCUGAUUAGCUAGUUGGUGGGGUAAAGGCCUACCAAGGCGACGAUCAGUAGCUGGUCUGAGAGGACGAUCAGCCACACGGGGACUGAGACACGGCCCAGACUCCUACGGGAGGCAGCAGUGGGGAAUUUUGGACAAUGGGCGAAAGCCUGAUCCAGCAAUGCCGCGUGUGUGAAGAAGGCCUUCGGGUUGUAAAGCACUUUUGUCCGGAAAGAAAUGGCUCUGGUUAAUACCUGGGGUCGAUGACGGUACCGGAAGAAUAAGGACCGGCUAACUACGUGCCAGCCGCCGCCGUAA
rnacentral:rRNA from 1 species